rnacentral:rRNA from 1 species
GAAGACUACCAGGUUGAUAGGUCGGAGGUGUAAGCACGGUAACGUGUUCAGCUGACCGAUACUAAUAGGUCGAGGGCUUGAUCAA